GCACCUUGACCUGUCUCUUGCCCACUGCUAACACAAGGUGAACAGACCCCGGCGCCCUCCAUUUCUGAGGAUUUUUCUAGCAUUUGAGCAGCCAUGGCAUCCUGUUGUGACUCCACCUGGAAAACCUGAUGCUGCUUUCUGAAUCGUUUGAGCAUAGGGAACACUGUCACCAGGAGCUUUGAAGAACACCACAUCGGGCACCACAUUUUACUGAGAAAUUGGGGUUCUUUUUUUCUGAGCUCUUCUCUCUUCUUAAUAAAAGAAUUUUCAAAAUGAAA
rnacentral:lncRNA from 1 species